ACAGCAGCUCCCCGGCCCCGAUUGUGCAUUACUCAGUAUAUCCGCGCUCGAACUCUCUUUUGCUGAGUAAAGUCCGCGAAAGAGUUAGAUGACAGAAUAAUUUCUCUUCUACUGUCUUCAGAUAGAGGUCCCAUUCUGAAUUUCUGAUUCGUUGUCAACUCAUCGUUUCCUUUCGGUCCCGUAGAGAAAGCUUGGUUUUAUUCACUCAGACAUUUUUACAAACAGUUCCUGCUCCAUUAUCGAUAUAUAAUAUUUACAUUUUUCUCUCUAUAUUCUGUCUCCACAAUCUCAUUUAACGAAGAAAAUGCGAGGAAUCAGAAUCGUAAGAUCGACGACGCCAUGGAUUCUUUCGAUUAUUGCUCGAACGCAUUCCAAUUUCACCUAUACGAGAUCGGUCGAAUGCGCAAGACCCAUCAUCGAAGCUAGAAAUUCCGAGUUCUCGAUUUUUUCCUCUUCUUUCUCCAUGUCGAAUCUAGAAUUCCCAAGUGCAACAGCGAAUCCCAGGUUACAAGAAGAAUGUAGAAAAAAUGAUGGUGGUGAUGAGGAUGGUGAUAAUGAUGGUGAUGACGAUGAUGACGAAGAGGGGGAGGAACUGAAAGAUGAUGCCGUUAAACAGCUGAGAGUGAGAGAUGAAGGUCUUGUUCGCGACAUAAAUACUGUUGUGGGCAUAUUGCAAGAACUGGGUAGCAAUAGAGUGGAGAUGAAAAACAAGCAAUACGAUGUUAGAGCCACAAAGGAGUUAGUGGAUGAAGUUCUUUCUCGGGUAAGAAAUGAUUGGGAGACAGCGUUCACAUUCUUCUUGUGGGCAGGGAAGCAGCCAGGCUAUGCCCAUUCUGUGCGGGAGUACCACUCAAUGAUAUCCAUUCUUGGGAAGAUGAGAAAGUUUGAUACAGCUUGGGCAUUGAUUGAUGAGAUGAAAGGGUCUAGGACUGGUGUGUCCCUUGUCAAGCCACAUACUUUAUUGAUUAUGAUUAGGAGAUAUUGUGCAGUGCAUGAUGUGGCUCGUGCUAUAAACACUUUCUAUGCAUAUAAACGGUUUAAAUUUGAUAUGGGGAUGGAUGAGUUUCACGGCCUUCUAUCUGCACUUUGUCGGUACAAGAAUGUGCAAGAUGCUGAGCACUUACUGUUUUGCAACAAAGAUGUUUUUCCAUUUAAUUCGAAGAGCUUUAAUAUUGUACUCAAUGGAUGGUGUAACUUGAUUGGAAGUCCACGAGAAGCAGAGAGAGUGUGGAUGGAGAUGGGCAAGAGAGGCAUUCGCUACGAUGUUGUCUCAUAUGCAAGCAUCAUGUCUUGUCAUUCAAAGGCGGGUAACCUAUAUAAGGUGUUUAAGCUCUACGAACAGAUGAAGAAAAUGGGAAUCAUUCCGGAUAGGAAAGUUUACAAUGCAGUAAUUCAUGCUCUUGCGAAAGGUGGGCUAGUAAAAGAGGCCUUCAAUCUGGUGAAAACAAUGGAAGAAAAAGGUAUAGCUCCUGACGUUGUUACUUAUAACUCACUGAUCAAGCCUCUUUGUAGGGCACGAAAAAUAGUUGAGGCCAGAGAGGUUCUUGAAGAGAUGUUGCGGCGUGGUCUCUCUCCUACAAUACGGACUUACCAUGCCUUCUUGCGUAUGGUGAGGACAGCGGAAGAAGUGUUUGUUCUUUUAGAGAAGAUGAGAGAAAUAGACUGCCAACCCACUAUUGAAACCUAUAUUAUGUUGAUCAGGAAGUUUUGUCGUUGGCGCCAGCUUGAUAGUGUUUUCAAGGUGUGGAAUGAGAUCUGUCAAAGCGGCUUAGGUCCUGAUCGUGGCUCAUAUAUUGUUCUGAUACAUGGACUCUUCUUGAAUGGAAAGUUGAAGGAAGCAUACAAAUUUUACACAGAGAUGAAGGAAAAACAGUUAUUGCUCGAACCAAAGAUAGAUGAUAUGAUUCAGACUUGGUUAGCUAAUAAACAUAUUACCGAAUGUCAGAUUAAAGAGUCAAAAGAUACUCAAUCAGGUCGUGGUCAGUCAGGCAAACAGACCAGGGCAGUCUCUGAAAAAACUGAUCAGAAAAAGGAUUUCGUGCGACGACCUGAAACUAGAAUGGUUGUGAGAGAACGUGGCUUCUCUUUCUGGGACCAUUAGCUUCUCAUGAAUCAGAUGUUCUGUGAUGAUCGGUGACAUUUAAUUGUGAGCAAACAAAGAAUGUUGCUGGAGAUAUGAUCACGCAAAAGGGCGUUUGGAGGAGAGAGGUUGAUUCACGCGCUGAGGCAAAUCUUCUGAAGCUGUUCCUGACUAUAAAUGGAUUGAUCUGAGAUAAGCAUUGAGCCUGAUUAAGGUGAAAGGAAGGUCAAACACCACAUUAAGAGGAUAGAGGAAUCUGAAUAUUAUUAUAAUCUUGGAACAUGGAGGUAUAAUACCUUUACUUUCUCAUAAUGGUUUUACCACUGGUUUCCUUGUUCAGUUAUCUCUGAGUUUUAGAGUCAAGAGAUGAAGAGACAUAAAUUAUGGGCAACCGACAUUCUUUUUGAAGACAACAUGAUAUAUUUGUUAUAUAUUAUAAAUUUGACAUGUGAAUAUUUGAAUUUGAGCUUAACAAGUUAUCUAGUGCAUGGGAAUGGAGAAAUAUGUUGGUGGAAGAC